AACCCAUGUUGAGGAUAUUUAUGCAGGAGCUCCUUGAACCUAUCCUAUGUCUCAAAAAGAGACUCCAAUUCCGUUUUUAGAAAGGAGGAAAUUUCAUUCCUGGGCU